UGGGGAAUUUUGGACAAUGGGCGAAAGCCUGAUCCAGCAAUGCCGCGUGUGUGAAGAAGGCCUUCGGGUUGUAAAGCACUUUUGUCCGGAAAGAAAUCCUCUGGGUUAAUACCUCGGGGGGAUGACGGUACCGGAAGAAUAAGCACCGGCUAACUACGUGCCAGCAGCCGCGGUAAUACGUAGGGUGCAAGCGUUAAUCGGAAUUACUGGGCGUAAAGCGUGCGCAGGCGGUUUUGUAAGACGGAUGUGAAAUCCCCGGGCUUAACCUGGGAACUGCAUUCGUGACUGCAAGGCUAGAGUAUGGCAGAGGGGGGUAGAAUUCCACGUGUAGCAGUGAAAUGCGUAGAGAUGUGGAGGAAUACCGAUGGCGAAGGCAGCCCCCUGGGCCAAUACUGACGCUCAUGCACGAAAGCGUGGGGGAGCAAAACAGGAUUAGGAUACCCUGGUAGUCCACGCCCUAAACGAUGUCAACUAGUUGUUGGGGAUUCAUUUCCUUAGUAACGUAGCUAACGCGUGAAGUUGACCGCCUGGGGAGUACGGUCGCAAGACUGAAACUCAAAUGAAUUGACGGGGUCAUAGCUGUUUCCU
rnacentral:rRNA from 1 species